AUGACGCAUGAGCGACGGCUGACAACAUCUUGCGCUUCGGUCCUUCAUAAAUAUGUUUUUAGGACGGAAUUUAAAGGGACCAAAGGAAAGGACAAGAGUGGUGGAAAACAACAGAAGUCUUAUGAGUUGACUGGUGUUUACACGGUCCAUGGUGGAGUCUUCAGGUCGGUGAAGAAGAGGAACGUCACACAGACCAACUGAAAGAACGUCUUCUCCGUGCUGAAGCUCUGAGACUGCUGAAUGAACAAAGACGCAUGAAGGGCCAGGAGGAGACGAGAACGAUAACGCCUGGAACAAACAUUUGAGUGAAGACACAAGGUGUUGGACGAGGAGCAGCAGACUGGAUGGAGACGAGGACAUCAAGAGAAGGUUGGAGGAGCAGCUGGAGAAACAGAGGGAGGCUCAUCAGAAGCUGCUCAGCCGCCUCCGAGACCAAACUGCUGAAUGAACAAAGACACAUGAAGGGCCUGGAGGAGACGAGAACGGGAGCGCAUGGAACAAACAUUUGAUGAGGGCAGAGUUUCCACACCUGACCUGAAGAAGAAGAAGAAGACGACGCCGACGGAGUUCCUUUUCUUCUUCAUCCUCCUCCUCUUCUUCCACCCUGCGGUUACUCUGAGAG